ensembl:lncRNA
CAAUUAUUAAAAAAAAUCCUCAGUAAAAUAUUAAUGAAACUCAAGUCUUCUCUAAUUGUAGGCAUCCAGUAUUUAUCUCUUGAAAGGAAACAUCUGAAGCUUCCUGUAAUAGUUCCUCCAUAUGGCCGCCAUCUCCAUCCCCAGAACCACAGCAUGAUCAGACACUGAAGGCCCAACACAAUGAGGAUGAGUAUCUCACCCACCUUCACACACAUAUAUUCAAGGGACGCAUUCCUUUCCCCAGUCAUGAGCAGCCUGGUUGGUUUUUGUCAGUUCCUCCAUAUGGCUGCCAUCUCCAUUCCCAGAACCACAGCACGAUCAGACACUGAAGUCCCAACACAAUGAGGAUGAGCAGAGACCAUGACCACCAACGUAUGGCUCAAUCAGGCAACCAUCCCAUGGGUGUUCAGUUUAAACCUCCCAAACUGGAGCAGAAACAACAAAGCAGCUACUUCAUUUUUACAGCAUCUGAUCCUGAUCUCCCAGUGAACAUUUACAUGCCCCUCUUCAUGUGCAGGAUGCAUUCCAAGAAAAUGGAGCACUCAGCAGUAAAUGUAAUCCCGGCUAUACACUGAAUACUAAGGUAUAAUGUUCUGAGCAUUUUUAAUACAAAAGCGAGGCUGUAUCACUGCAUUAAAUUGAAUGGACCAUCUAGUUCCUCUUCACUAAAAGAGAGGUAAUACUUUCAGAUAUCAGCAAGGCCAUCACUGACAUUAACCUCUUUGCCAUUAGAAUGAAUUUCUGCUGACACAUUCCCGCUGCAAAGCUGCAAACCAAUGACCAUGAGAUCUCAGUCACCAAAACUAGCACUGUCAGUUAAGCUGCCAGUCAUACUUACAAGCCUGACAGAGUUGAUGACAGGAACAAAUGCAAGGAGAGAAAAAGAAGUGAACUCUUUUGAGGGAACCUAUUUCUGCACUAAGAGUGCUGUUUUGUUUUUUCACUGUAGGUAAAUAGAUUUUCAUUCUCUCUAUGCAGCAUUAAAUACCAGCCCUGUAGAACACUGAACAGAGAUGGUGGAUUUGCCUGUUGUUAUAUGUGGAGACUGCAGGCAUUGCUCCAAGGUCAUUAGUCUGUCUGUAAUAGCCACCAUCUUUAAGAAACCAUAAUUAAUUUAGUUAUAUGAAUACAGCUGGCAUAUUCAUUACCAACUUCAGUGUGUGGUAUUUUCCAUAAAGACGAAGGGAGAAAUGAUACGUGGAAUCUUCUCAGAGCCCAUUCAGGUGAGUUUAGGGAUAAGAUCACUAUAGACCUGCUGUACAUACAAGUUUCAUAUUCUUACUCUAUGUGGCAUUGGACAAAGCUGUUUUCUCACUGUAUUCCUGGUUAUGUGCUGUAGCAUAUGACUUCCAGCAAAAGAACUAUGGUACCACCAGAAACCCAAUUUUCGGUACGUCUGGCUCAUAUCAUUCCCCAUACUGCCCAUUUUAGUGUGAUGUAGUGAAGAAAGUGUCAGAGGAAGACACUGGGGUCUGGCAACAGAACAUCUCAUAUACAGUAUUUUUCCAUGUAUAAGACUAUACUUUUGUCUAAAAUCUUUAGAAUAAAAAUUGAGGGUCAUCUUAUACA